UAUGUAACAUUUACAAGUUUUUGUUUUGUUUACAAAUUCUUCUUACAAUUUACAACUCUAACAUUAAUUUACCUAUUUUUCCAUUAAUUUACUAGUUGUAUGUGUGGUUUACAAAUUUUUUGUUUUAUUUAACACUUAAUGUCAAUUUACAAGUUCUAUGUAAUUUUUCUAAAUUUUGGUUUUGUUUACAAGUUCUUCUUACAAUUUACAACUCCAACAUUAAUUUACCAAUUUUUUCAUUAAUUUACUAGUUUUAUGUGUGAUUUACACAUUUUUUGUUUCAUUUCACAAUUAAUGUCAAUUUACUAGUUGUAUGUCAUUUUUCUAAGUUUUUGUUUUGUUUACAAGUUCUUCUUGCAUUUUACAACUCCAACAUUAAUUUACUCAGUUUUCCAUCAAUUUACUAGUUUUAUGUGUGAUUUACACACUUUUUGUUUCAUUUCACACUUAAUGUCAAUUUACUAGUUGUAUGUCAUUUUUCUAAGUUUUUCACACUUAACGUCAAUUUACAAGUUCUAUGUUAUUUUUCUAAGUUUUUAUUUUGUUUACAAGUUCUUCAUCCAAUUUACAACUCUAACAUUAAUUUACUCAAUUUUCCAUCAAUUUACUAGUUUUAUGUGUGAUUUACAUAUUUUUUGUUUCAUUUCACACUUAAUGUCAAUUUAUUAGCUCUAUGUCAUUUUUCUAAUUUUGUUUUGUUUACAAGUUCUUCUUACAAUUUACAACUCCAACAUUAAUUUACCAAUUUUUUUCAUUAAUUUACUAGUUUUAUGUGUGAUUUACAUAUUUUUUGUUUCAUUUCACACUUAAUGUCAAUUUACAAGUUCUAUGUCAUUUUUCUAAGUUUUUGUUUUGUUUACAAGUUCUUCUUGCAAUUUACAACUCCAACAUUAUUUUACUCAUUUUUUCAUUAAUUUACCGGUUUUAUGUGUGAUUUACAAAUUUAUUGUUUCAUUUCACACUUAAUGUCAAUUUGCGAGUUCUGCUGUACGGCCAAGGCGGAUGUACGGUACAGCAGGUUCCAUCUGUAUAUUCCGGCAGAGCAUAUCGAUAUCGGGAUCCCACCAAGCCGGCUCAAUGAGCACCCUUUUGGCGAUCCUAGAUCCUUUAUUUUACUCAUUUUUUCAUUAAUUUACUAGUUUUAUGUGUGAUUUACAAAUUUAUUGUUUCAUUUCACACUUAAUGUCAAUUUACAAGUUCUAUGUCAUUUUUCUAAAUUUUUAUUUUGUUUACAAGUUCUUCUUAAAAUUUACAACUCCAACAUUAAUUUACUCAUUUUUCCAUCAAUUUACUAGUUUUAUGUGUGAUUUACACAUUUAUUGUUUCAUUUCACACUUAAUGUCAAUUUACAAGUUCUAUGUCAUUUUUCUAAGUUUUUGUUUUGUAUACACGUUCUUCUUGCAAUUUACAACUACAACAUUAAUUUACCAAUUUUUCCAUCAAUUUACUAGUUUUAGGUGUCAUUUACAUAUUUUUUGUUUCAUUUCACACUUAAUGUCAAUUUACAAGUUCUAUGUCAUUUUUCUAAGUUUUUGUUUUGUAUACACGUUCUUCUUGCAAUUUACAACUACAACAUUAAUUUACCAAUUUUUCCAUCAAUUUACUAGUUUUAGGUGUGAUUUACAUGUUUUUUUGUUUCAUUUCACAAUUAAUGUCAAUUUACUAGUUGUAUGUCAUUUUUCUAAGUUUUUGUUUUGUUUACAAUUUCUUCUUAUAAUUUACAACUCCAACAUUAAUUUACUAGUUUUUUUUCUAUUUUUUAUUUUUUUUUAAAUUUUGUAGACCAAUUUACCACUCUAACGUUGAUUAUUGGCAUUUUAUGAUUUAGAUAGAAUGAUAUAAGGGUGGGCAUGAGUUGGGUUUGAUAGGGUUAGUGAAAUUCUAACCUGAUCUACUUUUUAAUGAGUUGAGAUAAAAUCCAUCCAACUUAACUAAAUAAACUUGAGAUAAAAUCUACUUUCUCAUCAUCUCUUUCUUCUUCCCUCUAUUAUCAAUGGAUUGUAGAAGCUCAAAUGAAGCAAGUAGCAGCAGGAACAACACAAGCAACUUUUACUAUCAAUCCCCAUCCUUCUCCAUUCAAAAUGCAUCAUGACCAUUUUCCGGCCAGCUCCAUACACAAAAACAACAGCAAAUAUAUCCGGAAACAGCAAAAAAAUUAACCCAAAAGUAGUAGUAAAUUUAUCCAAAAACAGAAAAAAAAUUUAACUGAAAUACGGCAGCAAAUUAACCCAAAACCAGCAGAAUUUUAACACAGAAAUAGCAGCAACUGAAGCCCAAAACACUCGAAAAUUUUACCCAAAAACAGCAGUAAAUUUAUCCAGAAACAGCAGAAAAAUUAAUUGAAAAACAGCAGCAAAUUUACCCAGAAGCAGCAGAAAAUUUAACCCAAAAAUAGCAGUAAAUUUAUCUAGAAACAGCAGAAAAUUUAAUUGAAAAAAAGCAGCAAAUUUACCCAGAAGUAGCAGAAAAUUUAACACAAAAACAGCAGCAAAUGAAGCCCAAAACAGCAGAAAAUUUAACCACAAAACAGCAGAAAAUUUAACCCAAAAACAGCAGUAAAUUUAUCCAGAAACAGCAAAAAAUUUAACUGAAAAACAGCAGCAAAUUUACCGAGAAACAGCGGAAAAUUUAACACAAAAACAGCAGCAAAUGAAGCCCAAAACACCAGAAAAAUUUACCUCCAAACAGCAGAAAAUAUAACCCAAAAAUAGCAGUAAAUUGAUCCAAAAACAGCAAAAAAUUAGACUAAAAACAGCAGCUAAUUUACCCAGAAACAGCAAAAAAUUUAACCCAAAAUCAGCAGCAAAUGAAGCCCAAAACACCAGAAAAAUUUAACCCAAGAACAACAGCAAAUCAUCCCAAAUACAGCAGCAAAUCAUCCCUACGUUUCAAACAUGCUUCUCUAGGCUAACUCUAGACUUAAUUUUCCCUUCAUUACCACAGUGGAACUCAUUCUAACUGGUAAAUUUAUUUGUAUAAACAAUAAUUCACUUUCUAUUGAACUAAGAGUUGAUGAAAUUCAUUGAUAUUGAAAUUAUUUGCAGUUGAUGAACCUCGUAUUCUAUUAAACUUCCAACCAAAAUUAAUGCACAUGAGAAUACAAAAUCAAGGGCACAACAAUUAACGAAAUUUACUUUUAAUUUCGUCCAAACCUAUACAUCGCACCAAAUUAAGGUUCAGUUUCUAUUUCUUCAUUAACCCAAGUGACACAAAACAAUUCUAUUAAAUUUUAUGUUGAAAUUAUUUGUAGCAAACAAACAAAUAUACCAAACAUAGGCUUACUUGGUGGAAUUAACAA
rnacentral:lncRNA from 1 species